CCAACCAUAGCUCAGUUGGUAGAGCGGAUGACUGUAGUGUAGAGUGAUAUCAUCAUGUCGCUGGUUCGAUUCCGGCUGGUUGGA